GAGUUUGAUCCUGGCCCAGGACGGAUGCUGGCGGCGUGCCUAAUACAUGCAAGUAGAACGCACAGUUUAUACCGUAGCUUGCUACACCAUAGACUGUGAGUUGCGAACGGGUGAGUAACGCGUAGGUAACCUGCCUGGUAGCGGGGGAUAACUAUUGGAAACGAUAGCUAAUACCGCAUAAUAUUAAUUAUUGCAUGAUAAUUGAUUAAAAGGUGCAAUUGCACCACUACCAGAUGGACCUGCGUUGUAUUAGCUAGUAGGUGAGGUAACGGCUCACCUAGGCGACGAUACAUAGCCGACCUGAGAGGGUGAUCGGCCACACUGGGACUGAGACACGGCCCAGACUCCUACGGGAGGCAGCAGUAGGGAAUCUUCGGCAAUGGACGAAAGUCUGACCGAGCAACGCCGCGUGAGUGAAGAAGGUUUUCGGAUCGUAAAGCCCUGUUGUAAGAGAAGAACGGGUGUGAGAGUGGAAAGUUCACACUGUGACGGUAUCUUACCAGAAAGGGACGGCUAACUACGUGCCAGCAGCCGCGGUAAUACGUAGGUCCCGAGCGUUGUCCGGAUUUAUUGGGCGUAAAGCGAGCGCAGGCGGUUAGAUAAGUCUGAAGUUAAAGGCUGUGGCUUAACCAUAGUACGCUUUGGAAACUGUUUAACUUGAGUGCAGAAGGGGAGAGUGGAAUUCCAUGUGUAGCGGUGAAAUGCGUAGAUAUAUGGAGGAACACCGGUGGCGAAAGCGGCUCUCUGGUCUGUAACUGACGCUGAGGCUCGAAAGCGUGGGGAGCGAACAGGAUUAGAUACCCUGGU
rnacentral:rRNA from 1 species